UACGAGGGGGGCAAAUGUUGUUCGGAAUCACUGGGCGUAAAGGGAGCGUAGGCGGGUGUUUAAGUUAGGUGUUUAAUCCCGGGGCCCAACCCCGGUCGUGCACUUAAAACUGGACAUCUUGAAUAGGGGAGAGGUCAGUGGAAUUGGAGGUGUAGCGGUGGAAUGCGUAGAGAUCUCCAAGAACACCAGUUGCGAAGGCGGCUGACUGGACCCAUAUUGACGCUGAGGCUCGAAAGCAUGGGGAGCAAACAGG
rnacentral:rRNA from 1 species